GCGUGAGGCUAACGACCGUCAAGUCGAGGGCAUGCAAGUGGUGCAAUGGAACCAGAUACACGUACACUGACAGGUUUGGACUACUAUGUUCUGCGGUGACGAUGUGGUGUUGGGUAAGACACCAUAAACUAUUUUCACAGCUCGGUUAAAAUUAAGAUUGAUUGAAUUGGUGAGUCUUCAAGUUUGUGGAGCUGCAGAUACAAAGGCCUGGCUAAGAGUAAUCCUGAGCCAUCUGUAAAAUCAAAAUCAAGAACAUACUAUUUAGAUGAAACCCCACGGUGCUGUGCAAGAUGGAAAUGAUGUUGCUGCCUUGAUGAACCCACGUCUUAGUGACCCAGAUCAACUCCUGUCAUGUUGCUGGCCAGAUGAAUGAACAACCACCACUACCACAACUGCCAAGGUGGACUACUGCCAAUUCUAGGUCACUGUAGUGGCGGCUGUUCAUUCCAGUGAGGGUUUGGAUGGUCGCCUUAAAGCACAAUUAUUGUACACUGGCCUUGAGAAGCUGUUGAUGCUGAUUACUGUGCCACUGUUAAGAGUUCGUGAGACUCUCACCACAGAAACUUUUUUUUUUUUUUUUUUUUUUU